rnacentral:tRNA from 17 species
CGGGGUGUAGCUCAGUAUGGUUAGAGUACUUGGUUUGGGACCAAGGGGCCGAAGGUUCGAGUCCUUUCACCCCGACCA